GAUGAACGCUGGCGGCGUGCUUAACACAUGCAAGUCGAACGAUGAAGCCCAGCUUGCUGGGUGGAUUCGUGGCGAACGGGUGAGUAACACGUGAGUAACCUGCUCUUAACUCUGGGAUAAGCCUGGGAAACUGGGUCUAAUACCGGAUAGGAGCGUCCACCGCAUGGUGGGUUUUGGAAAGAUUUAUCGGUUUUGGAUGGACUCGCGGCCUAUCAGCUUGUUGGUGAGGUAAUGGCUCACCAAGGCGACGACGGGUAGCCAGCCUGGGAGGGUGACCGGCCACACUGGGACUGGGACAGGGGCAGGACUCCUACGGGAGGCAGCAGUGGGGAAUAUUGCACGAUGGGCGGAAGCCGGAUGCAGCGACGCCGCGUGAGGGAUGACGGCCGUCGGGUUGUAAACCGCUUUCAGUAGGGAAGAAGCGAAAGUGACGGUACCUGCAGAAGAAGCACCGGCUAACUACGUG
rnacentral:rRNA from 1 species